GCAGGAUAUUGGGCGUAAGAGCUCGUAGGCGGUUUGUCGCGUCUGCUGUGAAAGACCGGGGCUCAACUCCGGUUCUGCAGUGGGUACGGGCAGACUAGAGUGCAGUAGGGGAGACUGGAAUUCCUGGUGUAGCGGUGAAAUGCGCAGAUAUCAGGAGGAACACCGAUGGCGAAGGCAGGUCUCUGGGCUGUAACUGACGCUGAGGAGCGAAAGCAUGGGGAGCGAACAGGAUUAGAUACCCUGGUAGUCCAUGCCGUAAACGUUGGGCACUAGGUGUGGGGGACAUUCCACGUUUUCCGCGCCGUAGCUAACGCAUUAAGUGCCCCGCCUGGGGAGUACGGCCGCAAGGCUAAAACUCAAAGGAAUUGACGGGGGCCCGCACAAGCGGCGGAGCAUGCGGAUUAAUUCGAUGCAACGCGAAGAACCUUACCAAGGCUUGACAUGAACCGGUAAUACCUGGAAACAGGUGCCCCGCUUGCGGUCGGUUUACAGGUGGUGCAUGGUUGUCGUCAGCUCGUGUCGUGAGAUGUUGGGUUAAGUCCCGCAACGAGCGCAACCCUCGUUCUAUGUUGCCAGCGCGUUAUGGCGGGGACUCAUAGGAGACUGCCGGGGUCAACUCGGAGGAAGGUGGGGACGACGUCAAAUCAUCAUGCCCCUUAUGUCUUGGGCUUCACGCAUGCUACAAUGGCCGGUACAAAGGGUUGCGAUACUGUGAGGUGGAGCUAAUCCCAAAAAGCCGGUCUCAGUUCGGAUUGGGGGUCUGCAACUCGACCCCAUGAAGUCGGAGUCGCUAGUAAUCGCAGAUCAGCAACGCUGCGGUGAAUACGUUCCCGGGCCUUGUACACACCGCCCGUCAAGUCACGAAAGUUGGUAACACCCGAAGCCGGUGGCCUAACCCUUGUGAG
rnacentral:rRNA from 1 species